GAAAUGCGAUAAGUAGUGUGAAUUGCAGAAUUCAGUGAAUCAUCGAAUCUUUGAACGCACAUUGCGCCCCUUGGUAUUCCAUGGGGCAUGCCUGUUCGAGCGUCAUUUGUACCCUCAAGCUCUGCUUGGUGUUGGGUGUUUGUCCCCGUCUCCGCGCGUGGACUCGCCCCAAAGUGAUUGGCAGCCGGCGUACUGGUCCCGGAGCGCAGCACAUGUCGCGCAAACGAGUGCCUUGGUACGGCGGCGUCCAUAAGCCCCUCUCUCACGCUCUUGACCUCGGAUCAGGUAGGGAUACGCGCAGAACUUAAGC
rnacentral:misc_RNA from 1 species